rnacentral:lncRNA from 1 species
CCUCGCGCACUUGUAAAGAUAAACAACAUGGCGGCGCCCGUGCAGCCCCUCACGUCUGUUGGAAAAUUGCUCCUAAAGACACAUUUAUGGACGACAAACUGUCACCAGGCUUCCAGCAGGGCCCAACAGACUCUUGGCUACUCAAGCUGCUCAGCAGGUGGCGCUAAAUGUUCCUGAAACUAAAGUGACCAGUUAGAAAAUGGACUCUGGGUGGCUUCAGAGGACUCUGGGCUCACCACCUGCACAGUGUUUGUCACGACGAGCUCAUCGAUCUGGCCAAGUACCACUUUGGAAAGCUUCCGGGCAGAUAUCAGGGCGAAGCCCCGGCUCUCCCUGCCUGCCGCUUCACCGGGAGCGAGGUGAGCAGGAGGUUUUCUACGAUCGCAGCCUCGUCGCGUGAAGGCGACUGGAAAGAGUUUGAGUUGCUCUGAGCGUCUUGUCGUCGUCCAGA